UGGCAACUUGGCCACCCAUACCAAGGGGAUUUGACUCAUUUACUUGAUUUUUCCACUCAUCUGAUGUAAAAAAGUCACGCAGUUCACGAGUGUGGGUUAAACAUUGGAGUGCGGAAUUCAUAUAACAAGUAUUUCCAAGGUUGCUAAGACCACAGGUUCCUGGAACCCUUUUUUCUUGUUUUUGUUCUUCAUUAGAUGAUUGAUUAUUUCUCUGCUGAAUUAAGAAUUGUAGGCGAAGCGCACGGUCUACUGGCCAUGUUUCAUUUAUCAUGCAUUCAGCCACUAAUGAACAGCUACUGUCCAUUCCCAGUUCUACCAAAGUCUUGGAUUUUUCUAAAAAAUCGAUAAUUUCUUUCGAAUUGAUUUUUAUAAAAGAUGAGGGAUCGAUAGUUCUAUGCAAAGGCUGAUCCGUGUCAACUCUCCAUAACCUAAACUGAUCACUGGGGAGAGAAAGGGUAUAUUUAACCCCUUCCAAUAGAUCCUCUAAAGUACUUUUUGAGGAAAGAGAUAUUUUUUUAGGCUUAUGAGACUCAUUCGCGUCCACAGCAUUGGUGCUCAACAGUGUUAAUGAAAAGAUUGGUGGGUAAACUUCAACUACCAAAUGAGGAUGCGACUCUGAGCCCAGGUUUACAGUUUCCCUUGGAAAUUCGGGUCCUUUUAGUCCAUACCAGCGAACCAAUAAAUCCCAUACAUCUCGAGAAAUGAUGGUAAAAUCAAUCUCUUCUUGCAAAUCCGGCUUCAACGUUCCAGUUUCUAAAUCAGCAAUAUCUUCUUGAUCUACCGGUCCAGGAAAGGGACCAUCCUCUGCCAAAUACGAGCAGAGUCGUUCAUACCAACUAUACGAAAGAAUGUAAUUGUCAACCUGUCCCAACUCAAGUUCGGGUUGAUUGUUUACCAACUCGCCUAUUAACUGCUUUUGUUCUGCAAUAGAAGGAAGGUUCUUUGAUAUUUCUGAAGCAUCACCCAAAGAUAUUGAUUUUUGUGAAAUAUCAUCCAUGUUGGAAGAGCUUUGCGAUUCCUCGCUCAAGGACCGCGGUCUUUUUCCGUGAUAUGAAGAAGUAGAACUUUCCGACAGAGAAUCCAUAUAAAAUGAAGUCUCUUUUGUCGAUGUCAACAAGUCCAGCUCAAUAUGGAAAAUUGCGUUGUUCAAAUGGGAGGAUAAGAGAAUUUUUAAAAACGGUAAAUUAAUUCUGUUAUCUCAAGUAUUGACAGAAUAUGAAAAAAAAUUGUAAAUUUCUUAUACAUUAACAAAUAUUUAUUUAAAAAUAAGCCUAAUGAGAACGUACAUACGAAUACUAUAAACUCUACAAAAUCUAGGCAGGAAAAAUUAAUAUUAAACAGAACUUACUAAUUUUGAUUAUUCUUGCAAGUUAAGUCAAUUCAAAAGCAGGUUCAGUCGGUAAAAUUACAGAAAGGUGA